AAGUAUUCCUGGAAAGAUAUUCGACAAGCAGGGAAGACUGGUUGCCUCUGGAUAAGGAAAAUGCCAGGAGAUAAUAAGCUCGCUUCACCUCAGAACCUUUGCAGCAGCUCUACCCUGUGCUUAGAUUGAUCUGUCACAGAAACUUGAAGUCCAGCUGAUUCUCAUUCUUCAGAUUCCAGGGCAAGUGCUAAGUCCUAAGUGCUAAGUGGUUACAAGGGACCCCAGAAUCACGCUGGAGGUGAAACAGUGACAGAAUGGGCACUUCCAGUAAGAAACUGAAGACUGGCUCCACACCAGUGCACUCAGAGACUGGAGGUAGAGCUUUUGGAAACAGGUAAGUUACUAAAUGUGAAAUUCAAGUGAUUAAAAGGUUUUGACACCAAAGCAACUAACUUCAUACCACAGUUUGGCAUUCGUUGUCUCAGAAGAGAAUUAGCAUUUAGAAACUGCAGCCUCAGAGAACUGUGAGAAGGCUUUCAGGCACUGAGAAGGAGCUCCUAGAAGGAGAUCAACCCAACAUGGAGUU